rnacentral:tRNA from 1 species
UUAAUUGAAACCAAAAUAGAGGUACCUUAUUGUUAAUAAGAGAAUUGAAUAAAUGUUCCUAUUAAA